rnacentral:rRNA from 1 species
UACGAAGGGGGGCUAGCGUUGCUCGGAAUUACUGGGGCGUAAAGCGUGCGUAGGUGGUUUGUUAGUCUGUUGUGAAAGCCCCGGGCUCAACCUGGGAAUGGCAAUGGAUACUGGCAGGCUAGAGUGCGGUAGAGGGUAGUGGAAUUCCCGGUGUAGCGGUGAAAUGCGCAGAGUAUCGGGGAGGAACACCAAUGGCGAAAGCAGGUAACUGGACU